AUGAACGCUGGCGGCGUGCCUAAUACAUGCCGGUCGAGCGCACGGACGAGAAGCUUGCUUCUCUGAUGUUAGCGGCGGACGGGUGAGUAACACGUGGAUAACCUACCUAUAAGACUGGGAUAACUUCGGGAAACCGGAGCUAAUACCGGAUAAUAUUUUGAACCGCAUGGUUCAAAAGUGAAAGACGGUCUUGCUGUCACUUAUAGAUGGAUCCGCGCUGCAUUAGCUAGUUGGUAAGGUAACGGCUUACCAAGGCAACGAUGCAUAGCCGACCUGAGAGGGUGAUCGGCCACACUGGAACUGAGACACGGUCCAGACUCCUACGGGAGGCAGCAGUAGGGAAUCUUCCGCAAUGGGCGAAAGCCUGACGGAGCAACGCCGCGUGAGUGAUGAAGGUCUUCGGAUCGUAAAACUCUGUUAUUAGGGAAGAACAUAUGUGUAAGUAACUGUGCACAUCUUGACGGUACCUAAUCAGAAAGCCACGGCUAACUACGUG
rnacentral:rRNA from 1 species